rnacentral:sRNA from 1 species
AGACUCGCAGGCGGUCAGUUGCUGUGUAUGGGCAGUAUGGAGGCCAGCCUUGUGCUGGAAAUGCUUUUGAAACACAGUCCUGUGAACCUACAAGAGGAUGUCCAACAGAGGAGGGAUGUGGAGAGCGUUUCAGGUGCUUUUCAGGUCAGUGCAUCAGCAAAUCAUUGGUUUGCAAUGGGGAUUCUGACUGUGAUGAAGACAGUGCUGAUGAAGACAGAUGUGAGGACUCAGAAAGGAGAACUUCCUGUGAUAUCGAUAAACCUCCUCCUAACAUAGAACUUACUGGAAAUGGUUACAAUGAACUCACUGGCCAGUUUAGGAACAGAGUCAUCAAUACCAAAAGUUUUGGUGGUCAAUGUAGAAAGGUGUUUAGUGGGGAUGGAAAAGAUUUCUACAGGCUGAGUGGAAAUGUCCUCUCCUAUACAUUCCAGGUGAAAAUAAAUAAUGAUUUUAAUUAUGAAUUUUACAAUAGUACUUGGUCUUAUGUAAAACAUACGUCGACAGAACACACAUCAUCUAGUCGGAAGUGCUCCUUUUUUAGAUCUUCAUCAUCUUCUUCACGCAGUUAUACUUCACAUACCAAUGAAAUCCAUA